GUGCUGCUUUGACAGCACAUAUACUACAACUGGAAUGAUGCAGUGAAGAAUUGUGUGGCCCCUGCACAAGGAUGACACUUUUGGAUGGGUUGCUCCCUAUAGGGGU